rnacentral:rRNA from 1 species
UUGCCCAGUAACGGCGAGUGAAGCGGCAACAGCUCAAAUUUGAAAUCUGGCCUCGUGCCCGAGUUUGUAAUUUGUAGAGGAUGCUUUUGGCGACGCGCCUUCCGAGUUCCCUGGAACGGGACGCCAUAGAGGGUGAGAGCCCCGUCCGGUCGUGCGCCUAGCCUCUGUAAAGCUCCUUCGACGAGUCGAGUAGUUUGGGAAUGCUGCUCUAAAUGGGAGGUAUACGUCUUCUAAAGCUAAAUACCGGCCAGAGACCGAUAGCGCACAAGUAGAGUGAUCGAAAGAUGAAAAGCACUUUGAAAAGAGGGUUAAAUAGUACGUGAAAUUGCUGAAAGGGAAGCGCUUAUGACCAGACUUGGGCGCGGCGGAUCAUCCGGCGUUCUCGCCGGUGCACUCCACCGCCCCAGGCCAGCAUCAGUUCGCGCCGGGGGACAAAGGCUUCGGGAAUGUGGCUCUCUCGGGAGUGUUAUAGCCCGCUGCGCAAUACCCUGGCGCGGACUGAGGUCCGCGCUCUGCAAGGAUGCUGGCGUAAUGGUCAUCAGUGACCCGUCUUGAAACACGGACCAAGGAGUCGUCUUCGUAUGCGAGUGUUCGGGUGUCAAACCCCUACGCGGAAUGAAAGUGAACGUAGGAGAGAGCUUCGGCGCAUCUCCGACCGAUCCUGAUGUUCUCGGAUGGAUUUGAGUAAGAGCAUACGGGGCCGGACCCGAAAGAAGGUGAACUAUGCCUGUGUAGGGUGAAGCCAGAGGAAA